GCCUUCGUGGCGUAACGGUUAGCACAACGUAUUCGAGAUGCUCAGGUUCGAGUCCUGGUGAGGGCA
rnacentral:tRNA from 1 species